rnacentral:rRNA from 1 species
UACGAAGGUCCCGAGCGUUGUUCGGAAUCACUGGGCGUAAAGGGAGCGUAGGCGGUGCGGUAAGUCAGAUGUGAAAUCCCGGGGCUCAACCCCGGAACUGCAUCCGAUACUGCCGUGCUAGAGUAAUGGAGAGGUAGCUGGAAUUAUCGGUGUAGCAGUGAAAUGCGUAGAUAUCGAUAGGAACACUCGUGGCGAAAGCGAGCUACUGGACAUUUACUGACGCUGAGGCUCGAAGGCUAGGGGAGCAAAAGGG